rnacentral:rRNA from 1 species
GAUGAACGCUAGCUACAGGCUUAACACAUGCAAGUCGAGGGGCAGCAUGCAGGUAGCUUGCUAUCUGUGAUGGCGACCGGCGCACGGGUGAGUAACGCGUGAGGAACCUGCCUUGGAGAGGGGAAUAACACAGAGAAAUUUGUGCUAAUACCGCAUGAUGCAGUUGGGUCGCAUGGCUCUGACUGCCAAAGAUUUAUCGCUCUGAGAUGGCCUCGCGUCUGAUUAGCUAGUUGGCGGGGUAACGGCCCACCAAGGCGACGAUCAGUAGCCGGACUGAGAGGUUGGCCGGCCACAUUGGGACUGAGACACGGCCCAGACUCC